UGUGUUGAUGUAACGGGACCCCAAAAGCUUGAUAUUUCAUCAGCCAUUCUUCAGUAUGCUAGGCCCAAAAUAUAACUGCUCUGCAGAAGAAAUUGUCAGGAUGUUGCUGAUCUGAAAUUCUACAAAUGAUUUUAAGCGGCAACUAACUUGAAUGUAUUUAGACUUAGUCCUGAGCUUCCAAAAGGAAUAAAACUAGACAUCCAUUUGUAGAUCCAGAGUAUUAGAUGGUUCAAAAAAACACAAAUUAUGUAGAAGUGCUUAGAGGAGUGUAUACUUCCCGAGGUGGGUAGAAGAGGGAACACGUCACCAGUGCAACGAAAUUAAGCACAAGUAGUCGUGCAGUUCUACCUUUCACCAUCAUGCUUCUAAUCUAAUUGAUUCACGAAUAAAUUCAUGGAUGAUAAAUUACUUCUAUAAUCAGCUUUUAAUGAAAAAGUGAGAUCAUGUUUCACUGCAUGCAUGCAUGCUACAUUACCAGGCAGAUACAACAGAUACCAAGUCAGCUAUUAAAUACUAACCUUUAAGAGAUCAACUAAAAAUAAAGCCAGCCAUUUGCACGUGAAACAAAGAUCUAGACCAGAUUAAAUGGAAGCAGGUCUUCGCUGAUAUUAGCAUCAUAUUAUCUUAAUCAAAAUAUUUGGAAUGUCUACACCCGUCACAGAAAUCAGAAAUGUAACGCAGUAUAAUGACUUGAAUGUGGAGUGUGAACUCUACAGUGUGAAGCUAGCAUGAUUCAGUUUUGUAACUUCAACCUAUGUACAAAUAACUAUAAAUUUUCUCCUCUCUUUCCUUUUUCUUAAGGCGUUGCAGUUUGGGGAACCCAAACUUUUGUAGCUGAUUUGUUGGUUUUGGACAAAUCUGAAGAAAAUUUUCCUUUGAAAAUUGAAAUGAUGACUACAAGCUUCUGCACACUGUCUGACUGUUCUUUUACAGCAACAUAAGGGCCCCCCAUUGGAAACUCUCGAAUGUGCAAUUCUUGUGAAUAUUUUGAGAUGGAAGUGUAUAAAUCACAAAAUGAGCAAAGUUUAAAGUUCCACAUUUUUUCUUUCCUCAGACACUAAAUUUCCAUACGGCCAAAAUUAGUUCAACAAUAUCCUAAUCCACAGUCACCACAGGCAAUGUGUGGUUCAAAAAAAAAAAAUUAUAUAUAUCUAAAAUAAAAUAAAAAAAUUGCAGCCUCCCUGCACAUAUACCAGAAAUUACAUGAAAAUCCACUAAGACCCGAAUGCUUUCUGCGUCCUAACCCAAUCGAAUUUCAAAUUUUCUUCCAUGAAACUUCAAAAAAAUUAUUGCACCGCAACAACCCCCAUCCCCUCCCCACUCCCACAAAAAAAACCUAAAAAUUCACUAAUUAAAAUGGAAUUAAUAAAUAAGAUGAAAUCACACAAAGGUAUCGAUGUAUGUAAUCAGUGCUAUUUACCUUUGCAAGUCAGAUCUGAUUAAUGCCCAAUUCAACGCACAAACCUUUUCACUUUUAUUCGAUUUGUGUGUGCGGGCGGGCGGGCCGGCGUGAUUAUAUAUAAUAACUAUAUAUAUACGCAAUUGAAAAUUUAUAGCCUACACUUUUCGAUCUCAUAGUGAUAUAAAUAAUUUGUACUUUUGUGUUUGAGUUUUAUUAGGGUUCCAAAUGCAUAAACUGAAUCAGAUUUCUUUUCUAUUUUUUACAGCAUGGAAUUUUUCGGCGCGUGAAUAAGUAGGAAAGUGUAUGUCGCGUGUUUUCACUUUUCACGCUCCACUUUCAUCUCAAU
rnacentral:lncRNA from 1 species